AACCCAUGGUGAGGGCACCUUCUCAAUAGAUCUUUGUAUCUCUCUCAUGCAUCAUAGAGUGUUUCUAGAUCCAUCUGGACAAAAGAAGAGAUAUCAUUUCUCAAUUU
rnacentral:snoRNA from 1 species